CUCUUAUAUAUAUACAUAUAUCCAUCUCAUAUAUACAUAUAUGUACAUAUUUUACAUAUAUAUGGUAGUCAUGGCAUAAAGGAAGAAUGAAAAUAAACUUCCUUGAAAGUUGAAUAAUACAUAUAUCUCAAUGAACAAGAAAGGCAAUAAUGCUCACAAUGUACCCAUGAUAGCACAUACAAAAUCUGUGGUUUCUUGGCAAUUGGAAAAUAAUAAAAUUUAAAAUGACUCAUAUACAAAGGUGAUAUUGAAAAAAAGUACCAUUAUUUUUAAUAUGACCCUUCCUUAGAGUUUAGAGAAUUAUAAAAUUCCAGAAAAAUAUAUGUGGAAAUGAUCUAUAAUUUUAAACUUUGUGGGCAUGGUAUAAAAGUAGGUAGUACCAAAUAAAGGAUGAAAGCAUGUUGACAAAAGGAACUAUAAUUUUAGGCAGUGUACUGGCAGCAUGCUUUAUAAAGUUCUGCCACAGAAUAGCAAUAAAGCACAGUGGUAGAUGGAAUAAAGAAAUGGGAGGAAUGGAUAAUUAAUGACUACUUGUAACAGUUAUUACUCUCCAAGAUAUGAUAAAGAAGAGCAACCAAAUCCAAUGCUGCAGGACAGAGGUGAUUGGUUAAUGGAGUCAGGAAGAGGUGUCAAACUAGUUGGCAUAGCUUCAUUUAGUUGCACAAGUUCCCACUUUGUGCUCCUUCCAUAGCACUAGUCUUAUCUACGGCUCUCAGCAGAACUUGGACAGCUCAAUGUUCCACUGCUCUUUGGAACAUUCCAUGUUUAAAUUAUCUUCAUAAAUGCUUUGAAAAAAUAGCCAGUAAAUAUAAACAUGUUGGUGUUUCAGUUGAAUUAAUGAUCAUAUCUGUAUUUUGACUGGUGUUUUAAUUUCUAAUAUUAUUAAAAGAUUGAUCAUAUAUAACAUCUGACAUUUUAAAUUGUUAUAAUGGACUAGGUUUUAAACACUGAACUAUAGUUUUGCCCGGUAAAAGGCACAGGUGUUCUGACAAGAAAUAAUAGCAAAUAAGAAGUGGUAUUUUUAUUUUGUCAAAUAGUAUGCAUGCAUAUAGUGCAAUCUAGGGUCCAGAACACAAGGAUGAUUUAAUGGCAAUCAAAUUUUAGUAGAAUUUCUUUUAUUUUAACAUCUUCCUUUUAGACUGGAAUAUGGUAUCUUAAAGAAGAUCAGACAAAUUACUCAUUCUGGGAACAAAGACUUUUGAAAGCUGUCAGCUUACUGACAGUUAUGAUGAACAUUUAUUUCAGGCUUAUAAAACAUAUUAAUCAAACUUGUUCACAGCAUGAUGGUCCAAAGAGUGUUA
rnacentral:lncRNA from 1 species